rnacentral:rRNA from 1 species
UACAGAGGGGGCAAGCGUUGUUCGGAAUUACUGGGCGUAAAGGGCGCGUAGGCGGCCUGUUAAGUCGAACGUGAAAUCCCCGGGCUCAACCCGGGAACUGCGUCCGAUACUGGCAGGCUUGAAUCCGGGAGAGGGAUGCGGAAUUCCUGGUGUAGCGGUGAAAUGCGCAGAUAUCAGGAGGAACACCGGUGGCGAAGGCGGAUCUCUGGGCCUUACCUGACGCUGAGGCGCGAAAGCUAGGGGAGCGAACAGG